GUAAAGGGAUCACCGGUGUUGCCUGCAAUGUCAUCAAUGUUCCCUUCACAAAGACUAUCUGGAGACAGGGCAGUCUGGGCUGAUCUUUGAGAUCAUGGGAUGCAGGUACUAUGGGCGUUUCCACUCCACACAGUAUUUCAGGAUGAGAUGACAAAGGAGUGCCCCUCUUUUAGAGUGCAGACAUCUUUAGACACCAAGCAUAAAAGAGGGGCUGUGACUGAGUACUGUGAAAGAGGAGAGAUGGUGGUCAGGAAGAGAUUAAAGGGUCAGAAAUGCGGACUGUCCAGUCGAACCCCCAGGAGAGAAGAGUAGUACAAUAGGGAGCUGCCACUGAGGAGAAGAGGCUUGGAAGAGAGCUUGUACCCUCAAAGAACAAGAAGCAUCUCUGCAAACUCCAAAAUGUGAGAGAAGCCUAAUGAACAAAAAACAUCAGUGCCAUGAGGAAAAGUGAAAAUAACAAAAGUCACCCUGGGACAAUUGAGGAAGAUGGCAGGUCAUCAAUUCCAGGAGACCAAUAGAAUUCCUGUGGGAGCCAGAGACACCUUCAUGUGGAUCUCAGACACAGACCAGAGAUGCAGGAGACAGAGGAAAUGGAGCUAUACAAAAUGGAAGGUGCCAUAUGAUCAAAUCUCAUCAAAUCUCAUAGAACAUCCCUAAGGAAUCUUCAGAAAUAACGCUAGCUUACCAUUGGAGUAGAAUGAUAAGAUCUCAUCCUCAUUUCUGUCUGGAAGAAAGAUCUCACAGAACUUUAAGGAAGGCUGCCUUUCUUCUGCUACUCAUUUUACGGAAAUGAGAAAUAAGUGAGUAAAUAUGGAAUAUAUACAUU